UUUUAAUCCCAAAUGGAGAUAAUGAGGGCCUGAAGCAAGAUCAUGGUACUAGGAAUAAAAAGCAAGCUUCCUGUGAGCUGCCCUAUGAAGAGAACCAAGUGGCAAGAAACUGAAGAUGAUGGUCUCUGGUCAACAGCCAAAAACAACCAAGGCCCUCCAUUGAACAGGCCUUUGACCCAUCAGGAAACCAAGUGCUGUCAACAACCAAAUGAGCUUUCAUUCAACCAGGAGCUCAACCAGGAGACCAGAAAUUAGACCACUUGCUAUGAUGUGCGCUGACCACCAGAUGGCGGUGUGGACCAUGGCGGGCGUUGGCGAUGCAGCGCUGGCAGUGGGCGGCAGUAGAGGCUCUGCUGGCCCCGAAUGAGAGUGGGACUACAGUGGGAUGGUGGAGCAGUAAACAUGUCCUCAGGUGAGGAUAUAAACAAAAAACCAAACAGCAUCCAGUGAAGUUACCAAAGCUAACAGAGGAUAU